AACGAACGCUGGCGGCAUGCCUAACACAUGCAAGUCGAACGCCCCGCAAGGGGAGUGGCAGACGGGUGAGUAACGCGUGGGAAUCUACCCAUCCCUACGGAACAACUCCGGGAAACUGGAGCUAAUACCGUAUACGCCCUACGGGGGAAAGAUUUAUCGGGGAUGGAUGAGCCCGCGUUGGAUUAGCUAGUUGGUGGGGUAAAGGCCUACCAAGGCGACGAUCCAUAGCUGGUCUGAGAGGAUGAUCAGCCACAUUGGGACUGAGACACGGCCCAAACUCCUACGGGAGGCAGCAGUGGGGAAUAUUGGACAAUGGGCGCAAGCCUGAUCCAGCCAUGCCGCGUGAGUGAUGAAGGUCUUAGGAUUGUAAAGCUCUUUCACCGAUGAAGAUAAUGACGGUAGUCGGAGAAGAAGCCCCGGCUAACUUCGUGCCAGCAGCCGCCGUAA
rnacentral:rRNA from 1 species